rnacentral:rRNA from 1 species
CGGGACACGUGGUAUCCUGUCUGAAUAUGGGGGGACCAUCCUCCAAGGCUAAAUACUCCUGACUGACCGAUAGUGAACCAGUACCGUGAGGGAAAGGCGAAAAGAACCCCGGCGAGGGGAGUGAAAAAGAACCUGAAACCGUGUACGUACAAGCAGUGGGAGCACCUUCGGGUGUGACUGCGUACCUUUUGUAUAAUGGGUCAGCGACUUAUAUUCUGUAGCAAGGUUAACCGUAUAGGGGAGCCGAAGGGAAACCGAGUCUUAACUGGGCGUUAAGUUGCAGGGUAUAGACCCGAAACCCGGUGAUCUAGCCAUGGGCAGGUUGAAGGUUGGGUAACACUAACUGGAGGACCGAACCGACUAAUGUUGAAAAAUUAGCGGAUGACCUGUGGCUGGGGGUGAAAGGCCAAUCAAACCGGGAGAUAGCUGGUUCUCCCCGAAAGCUAUUUAGGUAGCGCCUCGUGAACUCAUCUUCGGGGGUAGAGCACUGUUUCGGCUAGGGGGCCAUCCCGGCUUACCAACCCGAUGCAAACUACGAAUACCGAAGAAUGUUAUCACGGGAGACACACGGCGGGUGCUAACGUCCGUCGUGAAGAGGGAAACAACCCAGACCGCCAGCUAAGGUCCCAAAGUCAUGGUUAAGUGGGAAACGAUGUGGGAAGGCCCAGACAGCCAGGAUGUUGGCUUAGAAGCAGCCAUCAUUUAAAGAAAGCGUAAUAGCUCACUGGUCGAGUCGGCCUGCGCGGAAGAUGUAACGGGGCUAAACCAUG